rnacentral:ncRNA from 1 species
CAGCUGUUGAUGAAAGGGAAAAGUAAAGAUUGCCAACUGGUAAAGAGAGUUGGUGGAAGCUGCGAACCAGCCCAGUGCAAUUUUGAAUCCAACCUGGAAACGAUCUAUAUAAGCGGUGGUUCCGUUAUAACCUUCAAGCGGGUGUUAUAAACACCAACAAGGGUGGCAACGCGGGAAAAUACCUCUCGUCCCUGAU